ACGCGAGCAGCAGUGGGGAAUAUUGGACAAUGGGCGCAAGCCUGAUCCAGCCAUGCCGCGUGGGUGAAGAAGGCCUUCGGGUUGUAAAGCCCUUUUGUUGGGAAAGAAAAGCAAUCGGUUAAUACCCGGUUGUUCUGACGGUACCCAAAGAAUAAGCACCGGCUAACUUCGUGCCAGCAGCCGCGGUAAUACGAAGGGUGCAAGCGUUACUCGGAAUUACUGGGCGUAAAGCGUGCGUAGGUGGUGAUUUAAGUCCGUUGUGAAAGCCCUGGGCUCAACCUGGGAAUUGCAGUGGAUACUGGGUCACUAGAAUGUGGUAGAGGGUAGCGGAAUUCCUGGUGUAGCAGUGAAAUGCGUAGAGAUCAGGAGGAACAUCCGUGGCGAAGGCGGCUACCUGGACCAACAUUGACACUGAGGCACGAAAGCGUGGGGAGCAAACAGGAUUAGAUACCCUGGUAGUCCACGCCCUAAACGAUGCGAACUGGAUGUUGGGUGCAACUUGGCACGCAGUAUCGAAGCUAACGCGUUAAGUUCGCCGCCUGGGGAGUACGGUCGCAAGACUGAAACUCAAAGGAAUUGACGGGGGCCCGCACAAGCGGUGGAGUAUGUGGUUUAAUUCGAUGCAACGCGAAGAACCUUACCUGGUCUUGACAUCCACGGAACUUUCCAGAGAUGGAUUGGUGCCUUCGGGAACCGUGAGACAGGUGCUGCAUGGCUGUCGUCAGCUCGGUCG
rnacentral:rRNA from 1 species